rnacentral:rRNA from 1 species
GAUGAACGCUGGCGGCGUGCCUAAUACAUGCAAGUCGAGCGAACAGACGAGGAGCUUGCUCCUCUGAUGUUAGCGGCGGACGGGUGAGUAACACGUGGAUAACCUACCUAUAAGACUGGGAUAACUUCGGGAAACCGGAGCUAAUACCGGAUAACAUGUUGAACCGCAUGGUUCAACAGUGAAAGACGGUCUUGCUGUCACUUAUAGAUGGAUCCGCGCCGCAUUAGCUAGUUGGUAAGGUAACGGCUUACCAAGGCAACGAUGCGUAGCCGACCUGAGAGGGUGAUCGGCCACACUGGAACUGAGACACGGACCAGACUCCUACGGGAGGCAGCAGUAGGGAAUCUUCCGCAAUGGGCGAAAGCCUGACGGAGCAACGCCGCGUGAGUGAAGAAGGUCUUCGGAUCGUAAAACUCUGUUAUUAGGGAAGAACAAAUGUGUAAGUAACUAUGCACGUCUUGACGGUACCUAAUCAGAAAGCCACGGCUAACUACGUG